rnacentral:lncRNA from 1 species
CCUGCUCAGGGCUGACUGUGGCAGGGGACACUCUCCUGCUGGCUCUCUCUGUCCACACUUAGCUGGCUCCUGUCCUCAGGUGCACGGCCACACCCUCGCACCCAACCUUGAUCCUCUGAUGGGGAAGGUCCCAGGACUUGUCUGCUGGGACAGGCCUCACCCCCAAGAGCUCUGGGCAGUACCGAGAAGCAAACCUGACAGAUUUCUCCAGAACAGUGGCCAUCCAUGGGAUGAGUGAAAGCCUCUUUCUAUUCCAGGGAUUGCAGAGGCAAAGCUAGACUAGGUCUUGGAGGCUGGUGUAAGGUGGUGCGCGGAAGGCAGGACGCUGAUGGGAGAGACUGGUCGAAGAAAAGCCUAAAUGGAUUCUCCGUGCUUUGGAUGGAGAAAGAGGGGGGAAGUGCGAGCUCCUUCAACUCGUUCUGUCCGGUGAGGAGUGAUCCAGCUUGGGCUGACGAGAGGCUCCGGAGCCUUCACGUUCAGUGCUUUUUACCUGCCAAUCAAACUGCUACAAGACAACACCCUGAUCUGGCAUGGUCGCCGCGGGUCCAAGCCUGUAGUCCCAAAUCGGAAAAUCUCUGCAGCUGGUACACGCAAAAGAGAAGCCAGGCAACAGACAUAUUACAGAAGAAAGCUCUCAACUCCGAGAUCGAACCUAGAAAUUGUACUUUCCUCAAGAUCCGCUUAAGAGAAUCUGGUUGAUGGCUUUGGUCUGAGAGUUCAGACAUCUCUUGUGCAACUAAGAAAGACCUCAUUUUCCAUUUGCUGGAUCCUCCUGGUUUGUCAUCCCUGAGUCCUGUAAGAAGCUCAUCAGGAGGUCCCCUGCGCCGGAAGGACCAUGUGAGCUCAUCCCAGAUGAUGGGUGGCACCAUGGUUUUAGCAGCUCACACAGUGGAGAACCACAUUUGCUCUGGAAGAGCUUAGCAACAUGUAUUUGAUAACACAACAAGGUCAGCUUGAGCUCUAUCCUUCUGUGGCCAUACUGAACAAAAGGAGAGACAGACAGACAGACAGACAGACAGACAGGCAGGCAGGCAGGCAAGCAGACAGAGGCAGAGACAGGCAGACAGAGACAGAGAAACAGAGAAAUGAUUCCUGAAUUAUUUUUAAAAAUUAAUUUUAAAAUUCAGAUCAAUUAAUCAGUAAUACAUGCCUGUAGUCUCAGCCCUAGAACAGAUCAAACAGGAGAGUCUCAAGACUAAGGUCAGCCUGGACCACUGGUGACUGUUUCAAAGAAAACAAAUUACCAUUUGGGCAUAAUGGCACACGCCUUUUAAUUCCAGUCCUUGGGAGGCAGAGGCAAGUGGGUCUCUGAGUUCGGGACCAGCCUAGUCUACAGAGUGAGUUCCAGGUCAGCCAGGGCUAUACAGAGAAACCUUAUCUCAAACCAGCCAACAAAACCCACAGCAAACCGAAAACAGGUUAUCCUUUAAAAAGACGAUUUAGCUGGGCAGUGGUGGCACAUGCCUUUAAUCCCAGCACUUGGGAGGCAGAGGGAGGUGGGUUUCUGAGUUCGAGGCCAGCCUGGUCUACAAGGUGAGUGCCAGGACAGCCGGGACUAUACAGAGAAACCCUGUCUCAAAAAAAAAACAACAACAACAACAACAACAAAAAAGACAAUUUAGCCAGAUAUGAUGGCUCAUGCCUUUAAUCCCAGCACUUGCAAGGUAGACACAGGCAGCGAGUUCAAAUCUAUCCAGGUCUAUAUAUUGAAUUCCAGGACACCCAGGGGUACAGAUUAGAGAGACUUCAUGUUUAACAACACACACACACACACACACACACACACACACACACACCCCACUAUGUGAAUACACAGGUUUAUGUGCAUCCUAUCCCAGAGAGCCUGUGGUGAUUAUAAAACAGUAAAAAUAGGGCACAGUAGACAGCACCUUCGAGAUCAGCUUAGAACACUUACCUGUCACUUCUGUGUCACUUUUGGUGUGGCAGUUAUUAUAUUUCUAUAAUUCAUCUUUUGAGGGAGGCUCAGAAUCGGUAUGAAAUGAUAUAUGUUUACCUCUUUACUCUGUGAAUCAGGCUCUCAUAUAGUCUAAGCUGGCCUUGAACUCCUGGUAUAGCAGAGGGUGGCCUUGAUCUGGGAGCAAAGGUGCUGUCAUUUCCAGCAGAGAAAUGAUAUCUAGACCAAAGACACAGUUUUUAUUAUAUAGCCAAUGCUUCUUUAAAUGCCUGGCAACCCUCCCUUCUGCAGUGCUUGAUGGUGUGUUACUGAAGGAGUUUUCCUAAACACCAGCACAAAUGAACGGGCACACAUCAAGCAUACAAGACCUGGAGGAGGGAGGGGGCCCUGCCGAUUCCUCAGAUGCAGUGAUGGAUGAGAAAAGUAAGGGUGGACCAGAGCAGCCACAGCAUUGAAAGUCUGUGGUUUCAUUUCACAGAAGUAGUUGUUCAGCUCUGUACUUGGUUUGCCAUUGGCAGUGUUGUAUAGGGGGCUGAGGCUCAAACCCAGGCCCUUACCACUAGGGACUGUCAUUCUUAGCCUUCCAACCUUAAAAACAAACAAAACAACAACAACAAAAACUUAUUUUGAUUUUCAUUUAAUUUCAUAUUGCACCCAGGAACUAUUUUAAGAAAUCUUGUGUCAUAACCUGUGACCAAAAGUUAAGUAGCAGUUUUCCUAAUGUGUCUGCGUUUGCUAUAAAGAAUUGAAACUGAGCCAGGCAGUGUUGGUGCAUGCCUUUAGUCUCAGCACUUGGGAGGCAGUAGCAGAUGGAUUUCUGAGUUCGAGGCCAGCCUGGUCUACAGAGUGAGGACAGGACAGCCAGGGCUAUACAGAGAAACCCUAUCUCCAAAGCCGGAACAAAAAAAGGUUUGAAACUGUGUGAGUAUUUUCAUUGUCUGGCACUUUAUAACAGGUCUUAUUUGGUAUUGACAUUGGUAUUUGGAAUGAGCAUUUGAAGGUUUUAAAAGCUUCAGUAUUUAUUUUGUUCUAAAAUAAAGUACCUUUUCCCUCUGAAAAAAAAAAAAAAAAAAAAAAAAAAAA